rnacentral:rRNA from 1 species
CGGACCGGCGCACGGGUGAGUAACGCGUAUGUAAUCUACCUGUAACAGAGGGAUAACCCGGAGAAAUCCGGACUAAUACCUCAUAGCACAUAUUAUUCGCAUGAAUUUUAUGUUAAAGAGACUCGGUUACAGAUGAACAUGCGUUCCAUUAGCUAGUUGGCGGGGUUACGGCCCACCAAGGCAACGAUGGAUAGGGGUUCUGAGAGGAAGGUCCCCCACACUGGUACUGAGACACGGACCAG